rnacentral:tRNA from 1 species
GGGUUGUGGCUCAGUGGUAGAGUGCUUGCCUAGCAUGCAUGAGGUGCUGGGUUCAAACCCUGGAUCCA